rnacentral:rRNA from 1 species
CCCUUAGAUGUCCUGGGCUGCACGCGCGCUACACUGAUGUGUCCAGUAAGCACCUAACCUCUUCCGAAAGGAACGGGUAACCUUUGCAAAGCACAUCGUGAUGGGGAUAGAUUAUUGCAAUUAUUAGUCUUGAACGAGGAAUUCCUAGUAAGCACAAGUCAUCAGCUUGUGUUGAUUACGUCCCUGCCCUUUGUACACACCGCCCGUCGCUCCUACCGAUUGAAUGUUCCGGUGAGCUCUUCGGACUGCGCGGUCUGCAGUUUCUGCGUUCCGUGCGGAAAGUUGCGCAAACCUUGACAUUUAGAGGAAGGAGAAGUCGUAACA